AGUGAACGCUGGCGGUAGGCCUAACACAUGCAAGUCGAACGGCAGCACAGUAAGAGCUUGCUCUUACGGGUGGCGAGUGGCGGACGGGUGAGGAAUACAUCGGAAUCUACUUUUUCGUGGGGGAUAACGCAGGGAAACUUACGCUAAUACCGCAUACGACCUACGGGUGAAAGCAGGGGAUCUUCGGACCUUGCGCGAUUGAAUGAGCCGAUGUCGGAUUAGCUAGUUGGCGGGGUAAAGGCCCACCAAGGCGACGAUCCGUAGCUGGUCUGAGAGGAUGAUCAGCCACACUGGAACUGAGACACGGUCCAGACUCCUACGGGAGGCAGCAGUGGGGAAUAUUGGACAAUGGGCGCAAGCCUGAUCCAGCCAUACCGCGUGGGUGAAGAAGGCCUUCGGGUUGUAAAGCCCUUUUGUUGGGAAAGAAAAGCAGCAGGUUAAGACCCCGCUGUUCUGACGGGACCCAAAGAAUAAGCACCGGCUAACUUCGU
rnacentral:rRNA from 1 species